rnacentral:tRNA from 2 species
AUCUAAGUAGUUUACUAAAAACACCAAUUUGUGGCAUUGGAGAUGACAAAUCUAAUUGUCUUUAGAUC